rnacentral:rRNA from 1 species
GAGUUUGAUCCUGGCUCAGGACGAACGCUGGCGGCGUGCUUAACACAUGCAAGUCGAACGAUGAAGCCCAGCUUGCUGGGUGGAAGAGUGGCGAACGGGUGAGUAACACGUGAGCAACCUGCCCUUCACUCUGGGAUAAGCACUGGAAACGGUGUCUAAUACUGGAUAUGCACAAUGGCCGCAUGGUCUGUUGUGGGAAAGAUUUAUCGGUGAAGGAUGGGCUCGCGGCCUAUCAGCUUGUUGGUGAGGUAGUGGCUCACCAAGGCGACGACGGGUAGCCGGCCUGAGAGGGUGACCGGCCACACUGGGACUGAGACACGGCCCAGACUCCUACGGGAGGCAGCAGUGGGGAAUAUUGCACAAUGGGCGCAAGCCUGAUGCAGCAACGCCGCGUGAGGGAUGACGGCCUUCGGGUUGUAAACCUCUUUUAGUAGGGAAGAAGCGAAAGUGACGGUACCUGCAGAAAAAGCACCGGCUAACUACGUGCCAGCAGCCGCGGUAAU